GAUCCUGGCUCAGGAUGAACGCUGGCGGCGUGCUUAACACAUGCAAGUCGAACGAAGCACUUAAACCUGAUUCUUCGGAUGAAGGUUUUUGUGACUGAGUGGCGGACGGGUGAGUAACGCGUGGGUAACCUGCCUCAUACAGGGGGAUAACAGUUAGAAAUGACUGCUAAUACCGCAUAAGACCACGGAGCCGCAUGGCUCAGUGGGAAAAACUCCGGUGGUAUAAGAUGGACCCGCGUCUGAUUAGG
rnacentral:rRNA from 1 species